UCCCUAGUCCCAAGUCUUUCUUCUCUCCUCGUCCUGGUUCAAUAACUCUGCGUGCUUUCCCUGUGAAGUGAUUCCUCUGAACAAUGAGUGGUACUGAGAGUGACACAGAGACAAACAGCUCAUCUAGUCACAACAAAGAAGCGUGCAGUGCUUAGAUUACUUUUUGCGUUUCUCUGUGAAGUGUUUCCUCUGAACAUUUGUUGCGUGACACGAAGACGAACCCCACCCAGCCACAAAAAGGAAGCGUGCCUUGGGGCCAUGUGUUUUAUUGAGCGGCGUGUGGCUGCUCGACCCACGCCCUCUGACUUCCAAUCGGUCUCCGCCCUUCCCCUCGCUCCCCCUUGGCCUGCCACGCCCCACACACUCCAGGGCGCCUCUUGUGCAUUCGAGGUACACGUUGCUCUGCCAUGAACCGUCUGGGGGCGGCACGGGGGCGGCACGCGGGGCUUCAAAACAUUACAAGGCCAAGGCACUAGUGUGUCGAAAUCCAUUCGCCUCACAAAAACUUGGUCAAAGAAAAUCUGUAAAAGUUGAGGGAGUGUAAUAGAGUUGAAGAAAUGUUAGAAGGCUGAAGUUGGAAGCAGUGAAAUGCUGAGUAAGACUGACCAGUUUAAAAAAGAUAAAUAACAACUUGAAACAUGCAAGAUCACUGUCUUGUAAAAUCUGUAAAUGUUUAGGGAGUGUAAUAAACUUGAAAAAAUGUUACAAGGUUAAAUUUCAUAGGAAGCGGUGAAAUACUGAAUGAUACUGCUACGUAAAAAAAAAAAAAAAAAUGACAGCUUAAACUUGAGUAAUGCCAAAACAUUGUCAUGGAAUAAUGGUUGAAGGACGAAAAGAGACCAACAGAAAAUUCUAAGCAGCAGUUUGUGUAUAAAACAAGAAAGAAGGAAGGGAGGGAUUCAUUCAGCAGUUUGACAGUUUAUUGAGAGAAAGGUACAUAAAUAGGGAUACAAGAAAAAAAAAUAUAGGGUGGUACAAAGAAAGGACAUAACAGAAACAAAGAAAGAGUGUAAAGUGUCGUAAAUACCUAACCAUCAUGGCGCAUGGAGACAAA